rnacentral:rRNA from 1 species
UUUCCUACGGGGGGCAGCAGUGGGGAAUAUUGCACAAUGGGGGAAACCCUGAUGCAGCCAUGCCGCGUGUGUGAAGAAGGCCUUCGGGUUGUAAAGCACUUUCAGCGAGGAGGAAAGGGGUGAUGCUAAUACCAUCAUCCUGUGACGUUACUCGCAGAAGAAGCACCGGCUAACUCCGUGCCAGCAGCCGCGGUAAUACGGAGGGUGCAAGCGUUAAUCGGAAUUACUGGGCGUAAAGCGCACGCAGGCGGUUGGAUAAGUCAGAUGUGAAAGCCCCGGGCUCAACCUGGGAACUGCAUUUGAAACUGUUCGACUAGAGUCUUGUAGAGGGGGGUAGAAUUCCAGGUGUAGCGGUGAAAUGCGUAGAGAUCUGGAGGAAUACCGGUGGCGAAGGCGGCCCCCUGGACAAAGACUGACGCUCAGGUGCGAAAGCGUGGGGAGCAAACAGGAUUAGAUACCCUUGUAGUCAUA